rnacentral:rRNA from 1 species
GAAUCUUGGGCAAUGGGCGAAAGCCUGACCCAGCCACGCCGCGUGUGUGAAGAAGGCCUUCGGGUUGUAAAGCACUUUCAGUGGUGAAGAAAAGCUUGGGGCUAAUAUCCCCGAGUUUUGACGUUAGCCACAGAAGAAGCACAGGCUAACUCCGUGCCAGCAGCCGCGGCAAUACGGAGGGUGCGAACGUUAAUCGGAAUUACUGGGCGUAAAGCGCACGUAGGCGGGUCGUUAAGUGGGAUGUGAAAGCCCUGGGCUCAACCUGGGAAUUGCGUUUCAGACUGGCGGACUAGAGUACGGUAGAGGGGGGUGGAAUUCCCUGUGUAGCGGUGAAAUGCGUAGAUAUAGGGAGGAACAUCAGUGGCGAAGGCGGCCCCCUGGACUGAUACUGACGCUGAGGUGCGAAAGCGUGGGGAGCAAACAGG